CAGUAGCCGCGGGAAUACGAAGGGGGCUAGCGUUGCUCGGAAUUACUGGGCGUAAAGGGAGCGUAGGCGGACAUUUAAGUCAGGGGUGAAAUCCCAGAGCUCAACUCUGGAACUGCCUUUGAUACUGGGUGUCUUGAGUGUGAUAGGGGUAUGUGGAACUCCGAGUGUAGAGGUGAAAUUCGUAGAUAUUCGCAAGAACACCAGUGGUGAAGGCGGCUCACUGGCCCGGAACUGACGCUGAGUCGCGAAAGCGUGGGGAGCAAACAGGAUUAGAUACCCCUGUAGUCCCUGUCUCUUAUAC
rnacentral:rRNA from 1 species